AUAUAAACCAGCUGAAACCGAUUUGUAAACAAGUCUAGUCAAUUUCACAAUGAACUAUGGUAUGUCCCGCCCAGGUUAACUGUCAGUCUAAGAGCUUGCUGCCAAGACAAAAGAAGACCCUUGUUAUAAGAUUAAAGUCAGGGCAGGACUUAGGCCUUCAGGCGCCCUGUGCAAAAAAUAUUUACAGCGCCCCCUCUGGCCGCACCCCUCCCUUUUCACACCACCUCCAAUACCUCCAACCAUUUAAAAGGUUCUAUUCUUAUUAACCACAAAACAAAGAGAUGUAAUUAAAGUAUUUUUUUAGUCAAUGGUAUUACAUUUGUAAGUGGAAGGGGGGCAAUAAUACA